GCGGAGGGCCGGAUGACCGCGGGCCUUCGGGUUCGAGGAAAGUCCGGACUCCACAAGGCAACGGUGCCGGGUAACGCCCGGGCGGAGCAAUCCGACGGAAAGCGCCACAGAAAAGAAACUGCCCUCGCAUGCGGGGGUGAGGGUGAAACGGUGGGGUAAGAGCCCACCGCGCCGCUGGCAACAGGGGUGGCACGGCAAGCCCCACCGGGAGCAAUGCCAAAUAGGAACCGCGUGGAGGCUUGCCUCCGGGGAUGCUUUGUCCCCAGCAGGUUCGGGUUGGCAGCUAGAGGGUCGCGGGUAACCGUGGCCAAAGAUGAAUGGUCAUCCAGAGGGGGCAACCCCUUGGACAGAAUCCGGCUUACAGGCCCUCCGCGCAU
rnacentral:RNase_P_RNA from 1 species